GGAACGAGGCGGCGGAGUGGGUGAGUAUCGACGGUGGGACAACCUGCCUAGUAAGAGUGGAUAACUCGCGGAAACGUGAGCUAAUACCGAAUGAAGUCUUUCACCGCCUGGUGAAAGGAUGAAAGAUGGCUCUUGAGCUAUCACUUACAGAUGGGCCCGCGGCGCAUUAGCUAGUUGGUGGGGUAAGGGCCUACCAAGGCGACGAUGCGUAGCCGACCUGAGAGGGUGAUCGGCCACACUGGGACUGAGACACGGCCCAGACUCCUACGGGAGGCAGCAGUAGGGAAUCUUCCGCAAUGGACGAAAGUCUGACGGAGCAACGCCGCGUGAGUGAUGAAGGUCUUCGGAUCGUAAAACUCUGUUGUCAGGGAAGAACAAGUUGUGUUCUAACAGGACAUGACCUUGACGGUACCUGACCAGAAAGCCCCGGCUAACUACGUGCCAGCAGCUGC
rnacentral:rRNA from 1 species